CUGAGAUUCUUUUUAUGCUUCUACUAAAAAUACCAGCAGACAGCGAAAUGCCGAGUCUGGAGAAGGGAGGUCAAACUCUUGGGCAGCCAGAAGGCCUCCGUGUUGCAGAAAGCCCUCAACAAAAGAAAUAUUUUGUUUAGAUGAAACUUCACCAGCACAGUGAAAUCACUCCAAAAUACGAGCUAAGAGCACACCUGCUCUGGGAGGCUCUCAGAGGGGGUUUGCCCACCCUGUCCCGGCUCAUCGGGUCGCUGUCCUUAACCACUGGCACGGACCUUCUUCCUGCCCUGUCUCUUGGGCACCAGAAGCCCCAUCUCCAAGCUCCCACAGUGAAAGUGACUGUGAAGUAAAACCCAGGCCGCCGGGAUGCACACACGCAGGAUUUGGGGGAGUCUGUAAGUACACGCUCAGGACUUUCCUGGACCUGUUUUCUCCCGGCAGUGACCCUGCGUCUGAGCCUGACAAAUGCCCGCGGCGGCAGCCAGGACAGAGCUGCCCUCCUCCAGACAGCGACGCACAGGCUGACCUUCUAUGUCUAUGAACUUGAUCUGUCCCUCAGUGAACACGAUUCUCCUUUGGCAGGUUCCAGGGGCCAGAGCAAAAGGCAGGAUGGGUUUGAAUCUGCUCUCAAUUAGGCGUGCUGUGUUGUAAAGAAAGCAAGCCUCCUCGCAGAAAAACCAGUGCGACAGGAUGCAGUCGCUAAAGCAGAGGAAGGAAAACACAAACUAGAUGUUAAAAGAAAAAAAAAGAACCCACUUCAGGUCAGAUGCUGUGGGGCCCGAGAGGGCUCAGCAUCCAGAGGAGGGCGAAGGGCGCAGGGAUCCUGGUACCGGUUCAGUUCGUGCAGAGCUGCGUGCGCCCGCCCACCACCCUCCCGGGUCCGAGUACUCCCCUGGCUGUUCCCACCCCCAGUCCUCUCGGAGAGCCCAGUCCUGGGGGAUUUGAGAGGAGGCUCCCCCGCACCGUUGCCCGAAGGCCGAAGACUAACCCAGCCCCAGGGCGGGGCUUCCUUGCAACCUCAGCACAUCACACCAGGUGUUAUGGAUUCCUGGAACCAGCCAGAGGCUUGGCCUGGCGGAAGUCAUCUCAGCCAGGACUGGACAUCCCACCACCCCGAACCACAGAUGCCAAUGCCUGGUGUGGUGAGAGGACCUGGAAGGGAAGACAGAGCCCUGCCCUCAAGGGGAUGGAGGUCCCAGGCUGGGCUGGGGUCCGAUGGGUCUAA
ensembl:lncRNA